rnacentral:rRNA from 1 species
UACGUAGGGGGCUAGCGUUAUCCGGAAUUACUGGGCGUAAAGGGUGCGUAGGUGGUUUCUUAAGUCAGAGGUGAAAGGCUACGGCUCAACCGUAGUAAGCCUUUGAAACUGGGAAACUUGAGUGCAGGAGAGGAGAGUGGAAUUCCUAGUGUAGCGGUGAAAUGCGUAGAUAUUAGGAGGAACAUCAGUUGCGAAGGCGGCUCUCUGGACUGUAACUGACACUGAGGCACGAAAGCGUGGGGAGCAAACAGGAUUAGAUACCCUGGUAGUCCCUGA